GCUUAACUCGGUACGCAUAUUGACUCACCGAUUCUUGUACGUGUUGUUCAAAAUCUGUGAACACCAUAUAUAGAGAACUAGUACUAAUUUAUGUUCUGAACAUGCAUGGUUUAAAAUGUCUAAAUCAAAGUCAUCUUGUAUUGUUUCUGGUUGAUUUUGCUGUGCUGAUUGCUCACAACAAAUAUAUAUCUUUCAGACUCAAUACAUAAAAGACUGCAAGAGAUUAUAUGGAAGGAUACUGGACCCUAACAUUGUCAAGUCCUCCAUUCAAGCAAAGUCCAAGGAUCGGUUCGAGAUGGAGUAGUUUGUCCUGCCUGUGCAAUGUUCUUUCCAGCAUCUCAGCUGUGUACUCUAAUUACUGGAGUAUUCUGUAGAUUCUUUUCAAUUAAACUACUCUAGAGAUGAGUCUUUUCCAUUAACUAAAUCUAAAUGAAACAUUAUAUGAAACUUUCCAGAGAUUAAUUAAAUAUUGCAGUAUAUAUUUGACACAAAUAUUGUCAUGCAUCAGUAGUAGCAUUAGAUGGAACUUUUAUCGUAGGACUUGCUUUACAGUGGGACUUACCUCUGUAAUUUAGCCAAACUUUUCAUGUCACCAUGCGACUAAUGUUUUUGCUCAGAAUUCUUUUCUGUUUGUGUGGUGCUAAACUGCCAAUAGAAGCCGAGAUGUCUUGUUGAACAACUCCACAAUUGCAUUGUUGUAUGUUAUUUAGGGUUGUCCCAUUUGCAUAAGACCUGGAGUAAGAACAGGUCCAGUACUAAUUUUGUGUAUGUGUGCAUGUACAUGUACACUUGGGCCUUCUAUAUACACAUAAUUCAGAGCAUCUUUUACUGUGCAUUUUGUUUCUUUGCUCAGUACAGAAUGUAUUGCAAGUGUUGUUCAUUUUUUUCCUUUUGUCUAAAUAUAUCACAAAAAGUUAUGUAUGGAGUAGUGAUUGUUUAAUGUCCUCUUAGGUUACCAAAUGGAUGAAGCGAAAUCUUGUGUGACC
rnacentral:lncRNA from 1 species